UUUGUCUGGACUGGGAGGGUAGGAGGACCUGAGAGGGAGGAACAAAAGUCGUGUUGUUUGGUGAUGCCGAGUUGACCGGGCAGCCCUGGAAACCCUCACCCGGGAAGGCGGUGAGCUGUUUGCUUGUUUACAGCGAAGGUUCCCACUUUAGUUCCAGCCCACUGCCUGGGGUUGCAGUCCGAGAGGAAAUGAAGGCUGGGAGUUUUCCGGGCGGCUGGCUGACACUUCCUCGCGGAUGCGGGAGCCGGGGCCGGCGCUUCCAGCCUCCCUCGGCGGGCGGGUGGCGAUGCGCACUGAGCAGCCGGCCAAGCCCAAGUGGAGGGGACCACCGUGGAGUGAUUUAUACGGAGAUCAUCACCUGUAUAUGCUGGAAGGCCAAACCAGAUUCCACCACCGUUGCGCCCAAUGGGUCUCUGGAAAAAGCAGACUCCUUAAAAGCCGAAAGUCUUGCGGGAUUUUUAAUUCCUUUCCUUGGAACCACUUAGAAACCUCGCAUUGCAAGGGAAUUGCAAUGCCUUUCUCUCCAAGCGCAGAGAAAUAAGAGUUUAGGGUGUGAUACUCUGCUAUAAAAAGGUUAGCAGAUUUAAAGACCCGAUUUACCUGCAACGCACUCAGCAGAAGACCCGCCUGCCAAGCAAUUACUUUAGCAGCGUCCACAUCGUUAGUGUGAUGGAUAAACUUUCCCUCAAAGUUUCUAAAAUACCUCCCUGUGCAAUUUUAAUAAAAACAUGCACAAAAAAUUAUGUCAGUCUCCCCUUUAUAUGCGCUUUAGUAGAGCUGCCUGUCUCUUUUGCUCUUUUGUCCUUUUUCAUGUUGAAUGGAAUUCAACCGUCUGGCUGAAGAAGGCCUUUUUUUCAGUGUUGACUUUUCUGUGACUGAAACGCACAUGUGAAGCUAUUGCAAUGAAAACAACCUCCAAUGAGGAGAAUACCAGGGAGGAGUUAAGUUUCAUUCAUUCAGAAGUGCCUUCUCAUAAGUCUGAGAGGCUUUUCCUAGGGGAAGCUGAUCUCUAAGGCUUUUUGGAGGGGCGUGUCUCUUCAGGACAAUACAUUGUCAGGUGUUAUGCAACUAAAGUGAGGAAAGUCUGGGCCCGGCAUUGUACCCAGGUCAAUCCAUCAAUUAUUGUUUAGAAAAAUGUUUUUUCCCGUGUUAGAGUUUUAUUGCUGUUUCCUUCUUAAUGAAGUGACUGGGACCAGAGUGAGUAGGGGCGGUACAGGGUGGAGGAGGUGGUGGAAAAGAGAAUGGAUGCAGAGGAGUGUCCCUGGCUUCUGUUGUGGUGUCUUUUCUAUUUGACUUCAUGGUUGUAAGUAUUUCCAGAUGGUGAAUCAGACACCAGACGUAACAAUAUUUCCAUAUUUGGGUAUAGCAGUAGCCUGCGUUUUUAACAUUUUUCUGCCUGUUAUCCAACCACAAAGCAUUCUUGACAGCUUCAGAUGUUGUUAAAUAUAGACUUAACUUCUGUUCCCAGAGCAGGAAAUUCUUUGGAAUUCCUUGUUUUCCACGCAAUCUGUCUGUCAUGAUUUAAAAUAAAAUUUCAGUGGGUGAUCCAA